GACGAACGCUGGCGGCGUGCUUAACACAUGCAAGUCGAACGGUGAAGCGCCUUCCUUUUUGGUGGGUGUGGAUGAGUGGCGAACGGGUGAGUAACACGUGAGUAACCUGCCCCCUUCUUCUGGAUAACCGCAUGAAAGCGUGGCUAAUACGGGAUAUUCUGGGUCUGUCGCAUGAUGGGUCUGGGAAAGAUAUUGUUUCGGUGGGGGAUGGGCUCGCGGCCUAUCAGCUUGUUGGUGGGGUGAUGGCCUACCAAGGCGGUGACGGGUAGCCGGCCUGAGAGGGUGGACGGUCACACUGGGACUGAGACACGGCCCAGACUCCUACGGGAGGCAGCAGUGGGGAAUAUUGCACAAUGGGCGUAAGCCUGAUGCAGCGACGCCGCGUGAGGGAUGGAGGCCUUCGGGUUGUGAACCUCUUUCGCCAGUGAAGCAGGCCUGCCUCGUUUGUGGGUGGGUUGACGGUAGCUGGAUAAGAAGCGCCGGCUAACUACGUG
rnacentral:rRNA from 1 species